GGCUCUUUAGCUCAGUUGGUAGAGCAACAGACUCUUAAUCUGGAGGUCCUGGGUUCGAACCCCAGAAGGGUCACCA
rnacentral:tRNA from 1 species